rnacentral:rRNA from 1 species
GUAGGUGGCAAGCGUUGUCCGGAAUUAUUGGGCGUAAAGCGCGCGCAGGUGGUUCUUUAAGUCUGAUGUGAAAGCCCCCGGGCUCAACCGGGGAGGGUCAUUGGAAACUGGGGAACCUGAGUGCAGGAGAGGAAAGUGGAAUUCCACGUGUAGCGGUGAAAUGCGUAGAUAUGUGGAGGAACACCAGUGGCGAAGGCGACUUUCUGGCCUGUAACUGACACUGAGGCGCGAAAGCGUGGGGAGCAAACAGGAUUAGAUACCCUGGUAGUCCACGCCGUAAACGAUGAGUGCUAAGUGUUGGGGGGUUUCCGCCCCUCAGUGCUGCAGCUAACGCAUUAAGCACUCCGCCUGGGGAGUACGGUCGCAAAGACUG